GAUGAACGCUGGCGGCGUGCCUAAUACAUGCAAGUCGAGCGAACAGACGAGGAGCUUGCUCCUCUGACGUUAGCGGCGGACGGGUGAGUAACACGUGGAUAACCUACCUAUAAGACUGGGAUAACUUCGGGAAACCGGAGCUAAUACCGGAUAAUAUAUUGAACCGCAUGGUUCAAUAGUGAAAGACGGUUUUGCUGUCACUUAUAGAUGGAUCCGCGCCGCAUUAGCUAGUUGGUAAGGUAACGGCUUACCAAGGCAACGAUGCGUAGCCGACCUGAGAGGGGGAUCGGACACACUGGAACUGAGACACGGUCCAGACUCCGACGGGAGGCAGCAGUAGGGAAUCUUCCGAAAUGGGCGAAAGCCUGACGGAGCAACGCCGCGUGAGUGAUGAAGGUCUUCGGAUCGUAAAACUCUGUUAUUAGGGAAGAACAAAUGUGUAAGUAACUAUGCACGUCUUGACGGUACCUAAUCAGAAAGCCACGGCUAACUACGUG
rnacentral:rRNA from 1 species